rnacentral:rRNA from 1 species
GACGAACGCUGGCGGCGUGCCUAACACAUGCAAGUCGAGCGGGGUUUAUUUGAUAGCUUGCUAUUGGAUAAACCUAGCGGCGGACGGGUGAGUAACGCGUGAGCAACCUACCCUAUAGAGGGGGAUAACACAUCGAAAGAUGUGCUAAUACCGCAUAAAGUUAUCGGGGCGCAUGUUCUGAUAACCAAAGGAGGAAUCCGCUAUAGGAUGGGCUCGCGUCUGAUUAGCUAGUUGGUGAGGUAACGGCUCACCAAGGCGACGAUCAGUAGCCGACCUGAGAGGGUGACCGGCCACAUUGGGACUGAGACACGGCCCAGACUCCUACGGGAGGCAGCAGUGGGGAAUAUUGCGCAAUGGGGGAAACCCUGACGCAGCGACGCCGCGUGAAGGAAGAAGGUCUUCGGAUCGUAAACUUUUGUCAUCUGGGACGAAGGAAGUGACGGUACCAGAGGAGGAAGCCACGGCUAACUACGUG